GCUGGAGAAGCUGAGAGCAACCUUGACUAGAAACAAAAUUAUAAAUAAACCUGCUUGACCCAGCAACUUGUGAUGAAGAUCCCAACUUUCAGAUUUGGGAGGAGCAUCCCUGGACCAGAAAGGCAAGAUGACUCCAAUCAUUGUUUUCAC